GUUUUGCUGCUGCUUCUUUAUGGAAUAGCUUACCAGACCAUUUCAGGACUGUUAACAGCUUCUCACAUUUUAAAAGUCUUGUUCAGUCCUGGAGUGGAACAGAAUGUUUUUGCUGUAGAUAAUUUGUGUUACAAUAUUUAUGCUUUUUAUGCUGCAUUAACAGCUUGCAUUGCAACUGAAAUUUUGUUUUUUACAUUUUAAAAUUUGAAAGAUUAUAAAUUUUUACUUUAUAAAUUAUAAAUUAUUUAAAAAAUAAUUUUUAAACUGCAAAUUUUAAAAAAUUU
rnacentral:lncRNA from 1 species